GUCAUUAAUAUUAGGGUAAACUUCAAAUACCGUUUUGUGGUUUCACACUUUUUUACUUUAGUAUUCUGUAGUUUAAAGUGUACCAAGUUAGUCCCUAUGAGUUCGCAUUUUCUCACUUUAGUAUCAUGUAGUUUUAUUUUUCUUUUUUUAUUAUCCAUUUCACUAAUUCUUUUCGUUAAAUCAGUGACAAAGUUAAAAUUAAAGGGUAUUAAAAUGAAUAUUCGAUAAACUUAGAUAGUGUAUAUGAAAUUUUUUUGGUAUAUAAUUUAACGAAAUAUUAACGGAGGAAAAAAAAAUCAGUAACAAAGUUAAAACUAAAGUGUACUAAAGUAAAUAUUCGAUAAACCUAGGUAGAGUAUCAAAAGUUUUUUGCAUAUAAUUUAAUGAAAUAUUAAUAGAGUAGCCAACGAAUUAAAAGAGAAAAAUGAAACCACAAGAUACUAAAUUGAUACACUUUAAACUAUGAGGUAUUAAAGUGAAAAAGUGCGAAACCACAAGAUACUCAAUUAAUAUAUUUUAAACCAUAGAGUAUUAAAGUAAAAAAGAGAGAAAUCAUAUGAAUGAUAUUUAAAGUUUUUUCUUAAUAUUUUAG
rnacentral:lncRNA from 1 species